rnacentral:lncRNA from 1 species
GCACCCUUGGAAAUGCAAUGCUACAUCUCAAUGGGAUUUUCCAGUACAAAGAUUCUUUUCAAAUAACAUAAUUGUGGAUACACACCACUCCUACAGUGUUAGUCAUGCUGCUGAAACCCCGAAUGCUCACCCAGAAGAGUUCCUUUGCAGUGAAAGCCUAAGUGAGAUUGCACCUUCAACUGGCAUCACUCCACCUUACAGGAUCCUGAAAGCUUUCAAAUCCACCUCAAGCCCAGGCAGUGUCAAAGAAGGAGAGGAAUUGAAGAAGCAAAAAUAAAUAUUAAAGUACAUAAGAAUUAAAUAUUACCUUUUUAAAUAGCAAUUAUGCAGUUGAAAACAAGAUCAUCACACCUGUACAAGAAAAGGCAUGCAAGCCCAAAACAUCUGCUUGGAUCCACCUGCCAGGCACCUGUUUUGCUGUUUCAAUGCCAUUUGAUUGCUGGAGAUGUAGAGGCUCUUGUGAGGUAAUGAGUGAUUUUACAUUAUGCAUGAUUGAAAACAGGUGUUCUAAUGCUGCACAAUUCUAUGCAUGAAUAAUUCAGUUUGUUUAGAGCAAGAUCUUUAAAAGAAGUACUGCAUGGGCUUUAUUAUUUCUAUAAACACGAAGGUUAUUUUUUUUAAAGUAUGACGAUUGUUCCUUUGCAGCCAGCUUGUUUAUGGCAAUUUUUGUGUAAUUUUAUGGAUGAGGAAUAAUAUCCUGAAAGGUAAAAUUGAUCACACUUAAAAUAUGUAAGAAGUAAAAUUGAAAGGUCUGUUAGCAAGAGGAAAACAGUAUUAAAAUUCAAUGUUCUAAGUAAAAAU